CUACGGGACGCACCAGUGAGGAAUAUUGCGCAAUGGACGAAAGUCUGACGCAGCCAUGCCGCGUGCAGGAUGACGGCGCUAUGCGUUGUAAACUGCUUUUAUAGGCCAAGAAACCUUCGGACGUGUCCGAAGCUGACGGUAGCAUAUGAAUAAGCACCGGCUAACUCCGUGCCAGCAGCCGCGGUAAUACGGAGGGUGCUAGCGUUAUCCGGAUUUAUUGGGUUUAAAGGGUCCGUAGGCGGAUCAUUAAGUCAGUGGUGAAAGCCGGCAGCUCAACUGUCGAACUGCCAUUGAUACUGGUGAUCUUGAAUACGGUUGAAGUUGGCGGAAUAGGUCAUGUAGCGGUGAAAUGCUUAGAUAUGACCUAGAACACCGAUUGCGAAGGCAGCCAACUAAGCCGUUAUUGACGCUGAGGGACGAAAGCGUGGGGAGCGAACAGGAUUAGAUACCCUCGUAGUC
rnacentral:rRNA from 1 species